AUUGAACGCUGGCGGUAGGCCUAACACAUGCAAGUCGAACGGCAGCACAGUAAGAGCUUGCUCUUACGGGUGGCGAGUGGCGGACGGGUGAGGAAUACAUCGGAAUCUACUUUUUCGUGGGGGAUAACGUAGGGAAACUUACGCUAAUACCGCAUACGACCUACGGGUGAAAGCAGGGGAUCUUCGGACCUUGCGCGAUUGAAUGAGCCGAUGUCGGAUUAGCUAGUUGGCGGGGUAAAGGCCCACCAAGGCGACGAUCCGUAGCUGGUCUGAGAGGAUGAUCAGCCACACUGGAACUGAGACACGGUCCAGACUCCUACGGGAGGCAGCAGUGGGGAAUAUUGGACAAUGGGCGCAAGCCUGAUCCAGCCAUACCGCGUGGGUGAAGAAGGCCUUCGGGUUGUAAAGCCCUUUUGUUGGGAAAGAAAAGCAGAAGGUUAAUACCCCGCUGUUCUGACGGUACCCAAAGAAUAAGCACCGGCUAACUUCGUG
rnacentral:rRNA from 1 species